rnacentral:rRNA from 1 species
UACAGAGGGGCAAGCGUUGUUCGGAAUUACUGGGCGUAAAGGGCGCGUAGGCGGCCUUCUAAGUCGAACGUGAAAUCCCCGGGCUCAACCCGGGAACUGCGUCCGAUACUGGAAGGCUUGAAUCCGGAGAGGGAUGCGGAAUUCCAGGUGUAGCGGUGAAUGCGUAGAUAUCAGGAGGAACACCAGCGGCGAAGGCGGCACUCUGGGCCGGUACUGACGCUGAGGAGCGAAAGCGUGGGAGCAAACAGG